AUACGGAGGGUGCAAGCGUUGUUCGGAUUUAUUGGGCGUAAAGCGAGUGUAGGCGGCUUGACAAGUCGGAUGUGAAAUCCCGGGGCCCAACCCCGGAACUGCAUCCGAUACUGUCAGGCUAGAGUCCCGGAGAGGGUGGCGGAAUUCCCGGUGUAGGGGUGAAAUCCGUAGAUAUCGGGAGGAACACCAGUGGCGAAGGCGGCCACCUGGACGGUGACUGACGCUGAGACUCGAAAGCGUGGGUAGCAAACAGGAUUAGAAACCCCGGUAGUCC
rnacentral:rRNA from 1 species